UGCAGUCGAACGCGAAAGCACCUUCGGGUGUUAGUAGAGUGGCGGACGGGUGAGUAAUGCUUGGGAAUCUGCCUAGUAGUGGGGGAUAACUCGAGGAAACUCGAGCUAAUACCGCAUACGCCCUACGGGGGAAAGAUUUAUCGCUAUUAGAUGAGCCCAAGUCAGAUUAGCUAGUUGGUAGGGUAAUGGCCUACCAAGGCGACGAUCUGUAGCUGGUCUGAGAGGACGAACAGCCACACUGGGACUGAGACACGGCCCAGACUCCUACGGGAGGCAGCAGUGGGGAAUAUUGGACAAUGGGCGCAAGCCUGAUCCAGCAAUGCCGCGUGUGUGAAGAAGGCCUGCGGGUUGUAAAGCACUUUCAGUGGGGAAGAAAAGCCUGGGGUGAAUACCCUCGGGUCUUGACGUUACCCACAGAAGAAGCACCGGCUAACUCCGUGCCAGCAGCCGCGGUAAUACG
rnacentral:rRNA from 1 species